UAGGGAAUCUUCGGCAAUGGGGGGAACCCUGACCGAGCAACGCCGCGUGAGUGAAGAAGGUUUUCGGAUCGUAAAGCUCUGUUGUUAAGGAAGAACGAGUGUGAGAAUGGAAAGUUCAUGCUGUGACGGUACUUAACCAGAAAGGGACGGCUAACUACGUGACAGCAGCCGCGGUAAUACGUAGGUCCCGAGCGUUGUCCGGAUUUAUUGGGCGUAAAGCGAGCGCAGGCGGUUAGAAAAGUCUGAAGUGAAAGGCAGUGGCUCAACCAUUGUAGGCUUUGGAAACUGUUUAACUUGAGUGCAGAAGGGGAGAGUGGAAUUCCAUGUGUAGCGAUGAAAUGCGUAGAUAUAUGGAGGAACACCGGUGGCGAAAGCGGCUCUCUGGUCUGUAACUGACGCUGAGGCUCGAAAGCGUGGGGAGCGAACAGG
rnacentral:rRNA from 1 species